CCUUCGAUAGUUCAGUUGGUAGAGCGGAGGACUGUAGAUCCUUAGGUCGCUGGUUCAACUCCGGCUCGAAGGA